rnacentral:rRNA from 1 species
UACGGAGGGGGCUAGCGUUGUUCGGAAUUACUGGGCGUAAAGCGCACGUAGGCGGCCUUACAAGUCAGGGGUGAAAGCCCGCGGCUCAACCGCGGAAUUGCCCUUGAGACUGUAUCGCUUGAACACGGGAGAGGUGAGUGGAAUUCCGAGUGUAGAGGUGAAAUUCGUAGAUAUUCGGAAGAACACCAGUGGCGAAGGCGGCUCACUGGACCGUAGUUGACGCUGAGGUGCGAAAGCGUGGGGAGCAAACAGG